AUUGGCCGUCGAGCUUCAUCACGUGGUGUCAAUAGGAGGGAAGAAACACCCAUUUCGCUUUCUUUCAUUUCGUUUAUUUAUUUAUUUAUUUAAAACAAGGGAAAUUUUCUAUUUUAGAUUACUACAGCAUUUCCUCUCCACGCUUCGGUUAAUUGGAGCUGUCGUUCAACGCCUGCAGUUCCCCUGCAGCGCAAACGGACAGCAACGCGACGUCUUUGUACCGAUGGUUAGCGAAGGGGCGGGGAGCUCCCACGAGACGGUGUUGGCAUCAGACAAUACGCCUAAUUGUUGCCGUGAUUCUUCACCCGCUUACCGCUGGCCAAAUCUGCUAUCAGCUUUAAUGUGUAGCACAUUUGAAAGACCGCGGCGACGUGCCGAGGCUCUCCUCCAUACGUGGAGCCCACAGACGAAGAAGCUCGGGGCAGCUGUCAGUUUCCAACACAAUUGUGCAUGGGCAGUGUGCCGUGGACAGCUAUAGGUACAUGGUGGCUGCCUGGCAACGCGAUGAAUGAUACACAGGGUAGUAGAAAGAGGCGCUGAUUUUGGCAAUAAUGCUCCGGCCCUCCAAGACAUUUGCUCAUGACCAAGUUAAAGCAUCAGCACCCGUGUCGGCUCAAGUGGGGGCGGGUAGGAUAUUUAGAGAAACGGACAUGUUGUGAGCUGCGCAUGCGCAGGAUAGAUCUGCUCGCUGCCGAAGAUGCUGAACACGCAGAAUAGAAGACUGACUCCACCGCUAACAUCAUUUCCAUUUUCCGCCCUCCUGGACCCACCCUUUUCUGCCGAGUCACCAUAUAAUCCCGUAACCAGCCAUUUCACUCCAAUUCUGAGUUCCCAUCUGAAAAGAUAAACCCCAAAACAUGUUGUGUUCUAUAUUAUUGUGAACUUUUUCAGUUAUAUGGGAUCACCAAGGUAGUGCCCCAACUCUUUUAACAUCAUCGUUGUGUCUCCUCUUUUAUAAAGGAUAUCGUCAAAAUGAUUUGUAAGUAGAUUAGUAAUUCUCAGUCCUUCACUUUUUAUAUUUAAUAUCCUUCCAAAUAUCUUUUAGCUGGAUAGUUCAUGAUGAAUACACACAGAUGUAAGUGAAAACAAACCAGAUUUGUCAUUUGCAUCUUAUUGCUAAUAAGCAGCCAUUAAAACAGUGAAUGCAGCUGAUUAGGACUAAAAUGAACAAAUAAGGGUGGGCAAUCUUAACACGCGAGACAACUCAAAUAAAGCAUUACAUUGCUUGAGCAAUAAGACCUUUAACAGCAGUAAUUGACUUCUCUUUAACAAAACUAGGUUGGAACCAAAACUUGCAACCACUAUGGUCCUCCAGGACUGACGUUGCCCACCCCUGCACUAAAACCCCACCAUAGUAUAUUUCUCUCAGUAGUUCUUGACAUAGUUCAGCUGAAAUCUCCUUUUCUGCUUAU